AGCGAACGCUGGCGGUAGGCCUAACACAUGCAAGUCGAACGGCAGCACAGUAAGAGCUUGCUCUUACGGGUGGCGAGUGGCGACCGGGUGGGAACAACAGAGGAACCUACCUUUUCGUGGGGGAUAACGUAGGGAAACUUACGCUAAUACCGCAUACGACCUACGGGUCAAAGCAUGGGAUCUUCGAACCUUGCGUGACUGAAUGAGCCGAUGUCGGAUUAGCUCGUUGGGGGGGUAAGGGCCCACCAUGGCGACGCUGCGUCGCUGGUCUGACAGGAUGGUCAGCCACACUGGAAGUGAUGCGCGGCCCAGACUCCUACGAGAGGCAGCAGCAGGGAAUAUUGGAGAAUGGGCGGAAGCCUGAUCCUGCCAUGCCGCGUGGGUGGAGAAGGCGUUCGGGUUGUAGAGACCUUUUGUUGGGAGAGAAGAGCAGCUGGUUCGUACGCCGCUGGUCUGACGGUACCCAAAUAAGAAGCACCGGCUAACUACGUG
rnacentral:rRNA from 1 species